rnacentral:rRNA from 1 species
CUGCCUCAUACAGGGGGAUAACAGUUAGAAAUGACUGCUAAUACCGCAUAAGCGUACAGGGACACAUGUUCCGGUGUGAAAAACUCCGGUGGUAUGAGAUGGACCCGCGUCUGAUUAGCUGGUUGGCGGGGUAACGGCCCACCAAGGCGACGAUCAGUAGCCGACCUGAGAGGGUGACCGGCCACAUUGGGACUGAGACACGGCCCAAACUCCUACGGGAGGCAGCAGUGGGGAAUAUUGCACAAUGGGGGAAACCCUGAUGCAGCAACGCCGCGUGAGUGAAGAAGUAUUUCGGUAUGUAAAGCUCUAUCAGCAGGGAAGAAGAUGACGGUACCUGAGUAAGAAGCCCCGGCUAACUACGUGCCAGCAGCCGCGGUAAUACGUAGGGGGCAAGCGUUAUCCGGAUUUACUGGGUGUAAAGGGAGCGUAGACGGUGAGACAAGUCUGAAGUGAAAGCCCGGGGCUCAACCCCGGGACUGCUUUGGAAACUGCCUGACUGGAGUGCUGGAGAGGCAAGCGGAAUUCCUAGUGUAGCGGUGAAAUGCGUAGAUAUUAGGAAGAACACCAGUGGCGAAGGCGGCUUGCUGGACAGUAACUGACGUUGAGGCUCGAAAGCGUGGGGAGCAAACAGGAUUAGAUACCCUGGUAGUCCACGCCGUAAACGAUGA